GCUCAGCUCUCAACAUCAUCGCUGGAUUUUCUCCAAGAAAACACACAGUGGUCAGUAUCUGCAGGAAAGCUCCAUGUCCCUUCCCAGAGCUCAUGUCCGUGUCUUCCCCUGGCAUAGCCGUUGGCUCACAGACUACAGAAGGGGAAAGGCAGCCGAAAGACAGCCCAACACAAGUGGCUAGCAGCUGCCAGAAGUUUCCUCGGAACUGUAAAGUUUGGCCGAGGAUUUAGCUCAGUGGUUUCGCCACCUGCUGCGCAAGCACAAGGACCAGAGUUCAAUCCCAGGAAGAGGGACUUUUUUUUUCUUGAAAACUCAAUCUUCCAGAAAAAUCUUCAUUUCAGCUUUUGAAAGGCACUGAAAUAGCCAACCUAAAGCAAAAAACUGGCAAUGUACCUGUUGACUCAUUGGCUCCAGCUUGUGGCUCAUGAAGGGAAAAAGUGGGUAGGCUGAAGAAACCAGCUGAUAAAUUGACAUUUGAAAAGAACUAUCCUGGAAUGUUGCUGAAGACAUUUCCAGUUCAAAAAUAAACUUGUCUUUAAGUCAAAAUUAUUUCAUCCACAUCUCACACCUCUCACAUGUUGUGCUCACCAACGUCUGUAUUAUUAAAUCUAAUGGUCACUACUUGGCAUGCCUUUUCUCCUUAGAGCAUUUCUCUUGGUUUUACUGAGGCAAUCCACUACCCGCCCCCCAACACCAACCAUUCCUUCUCAGGCUCCUUUGCUCCUUUUUCUCAAUUAAGUGGUGGCCCACUAAAUAUUGUCAUGCCUGAGACAUAGGCCUAAACUCUGCUUACCUCAAGCUCAUCUCCCUCAGUCUAAUAGAUUUAAACCUUAUGCACAUGCCAAUGACUUCUAAAUUUCUAUUCUUACACUGAACUAAAACUCAUAACCAACUACCAUGAAUUUUCCACUUUCAGACUUUUUUGAACUAAACAUAACAAAAAAGGUCGAUUCCCAACUGCCCAAACUGUUUCUCCCUAGACUUCCUCAUCCCAAUAAACAGUGCCACUGCCCACUCAGUUGCCAAAGCCUAAAACCUCACUUUCUCCCUUUCUUACUUCACAUUAAUGAGCAACAAGUCUAGUUGGCCCUUGCUCUAAAAUAUGGACCCACUUUAGCUCCACUUUACCACCACAGUCUCAACUCCAGCACCCCUGGGUCCCUGUGAGGGCUUCUUGAAUGGUCUUGCCAACCUCCACUCUAUCUUCCACAGUCUGGUCUCUGAACCACAGUGCUAGUUAUUUCUAAAAGUACAAAUGCAUCCUGUCAUUCCCCUGCAUAAAACGGAAUGAUUUCCCCCUUUAUUCCUUGAAAUAAAACCCAGACUCUUACCAACUAGGGCUUUUAAGAUGUUAUGUGACCUGGCCCCUGCCUAUCUGACUUUACCUCCAGCCACUGGCUCACUGACCUCCACUCAUGCUGGCCUUUCUGAUCUGCAAAGACACCACACUCAUUUCUGCCUCAGAACCUUUGCAAGGGAAACUCCCUCUACCUAAAGUACUCCAUGACACAAGCAUUGCACAGCUAACUCUUCUGUUAGUCAAGUCCCAGCCAAAGCCACUUUUUCCAUGUGGCUUUCCCUUUCAACCCAGGCUUUCAUCAGACCCUCACCUCACCCAGUCAUCCUCCACAACCUCCGAGAUAAGUAUGCUCACUUACAGUAAAUCCAUCUCUUGAAAAUAACAAGAUGUUCAACAUGCCAUAGUACAUAGUUGUAAAUGUUCCAAAUUCACUGAACUAUCAUCAAGUAUGUGCUGACCACCUUCUAUAUGCAAGGCAGUGUGAGAAAUAAGACAGCUCUAUGCUAAUAUUCUUAAAUAAGGGUUCUCCACUUCUUGGCCUGGUUAUAAUGACCUCAAUCCUCAAAAGGCACUGACAGGCAUUUGGUGAGGGACUCUAAGAUGGUCUUUCUUGGUGCAUCACUACCUUCAUUACCUUCUACACAAACAGAGUCUAUAGGAUGUGAAAUCUCAUACAAGAGCUCACAAGGGCUCACAUCUACGGGUAUUUAACUGGCGUGUCCUCCCUCCCAGGCUCUGUGCACUAUUCCUCCCUGCAUCCUUAGUAAACUAUAAGCUUUCAACCAUUUUUCUUGUACAAGCUGUUCUGAAUGUUCACUGCCUGAAAGUCUCAUUGCUCCAUUUGUUCCGUGUGGCCUGAUAAUGACCCUACUUUUUCUUUGUUCUUGCUCUCUACCUUCAAGGAAAACAGAAUGUACCCAACCACAGUUAUCCUUAAAGAGACACAAUUUGAGACCAGCCUUGAAAAACCGGAGAUCACCCGGUUUUUCCCCUGGAGCGUAGCAAACACAUAGCUACUGGGUGACAAGUCACUAGAGUAUUGUCUGAGGUCAUGGGCCAGAGGUUUACCUACAGAGUUCUAUUUCUUCAUCUAUCACAUGAACAAAUUAGACAAAUGAUCCCAAAGGUCCUUUCAAACUUAAGAGGAACCCAACAGCCCCAUUAGGAAAGGGCUUCAAGAAGCCCCAGCACUAUCCCCACCCAGGAAUGGGCCAAUCCUCAACUAGGGAAAUUCCUAAGGCAGAGGCUGCUGCCUCCAGAGGAGAAGGAUAAAUUCUCACUUUGCUUCAUCUAGUACCAAGAUAAAGGCAUAGACUGACAAAACGUCACCUCACCAUAACUCCCCUCUCCAAACACCAGGAUUUUCUCAGCUCUGUAGGCCAUCUGGUGGGCCAGGGAUUUGGUUCAGUGGUUCUGCUGCCUGCCUCGCAAGCGCAAGGUC